CUGGUGAAGUUCGUCGUCCAUCUUCUUUGAUUUCUUCAUCAAGUGAUGAACUUUCUUUCUCAAAUCCUGGAUCAUGGACUUCAGAGGAAUCCUCUGCGGUAGGGGAAGAGCUUCGAUAGGGCACUGCUGUCAGGAAACAAGAGCGUCACGACGCAUAUCAUUGCAAGAAAAAAGAAAAAAAAGUAGAAGAAGAAAAAUGAGCUCUCCGU
rnacentral:lncRNA from 1 species